rnacentral:misc_RNA from 1 species
GCCUGAUGCUGGGUUUUCCAAUGGUACUAACUCCAAACUACUCCAAAAUUCAGUAAUCAUCUGCAACUCGAUUCAGCUUUCCAGGGACAACAAACAACAUGCAAUUGGUAUUUCUACUUCACAAGCAGCGUACGAAAAUUAUCCAUUUCAUUUUUCUACAAUUCAGGAAUAACACAAAUGUUUAUUGUUUAUUUCCACCUUAAAAGGUGUACUAAUCUAUAUAAUCUACAACUUGGAAGAAGGUUUCUUUGCACUUCGACCAGCUAUGAACUCCUGCAUCUUCCUGAACUGAUCCUUGGUCAUUCCAUUGUAAUACUCGUGUGCCCUCUCCUUUUCUAAAGAGAGUGCACGACCCAAGUCCAGCUUCAGGCCAUCAUUUAUGACAGAUUUGUAUCUCAACACCAAAUCUUGAUUAUUUUUUAUCAUGGCCUCUGCAAUUGCUCGUGCUUUCUUUAAUAGUUCACUCUCCUCAACAACAUAGUUAACCAAGCCCCAUUUCUCAGCCUGCUCAGCUGUUAUAGGCAUGGCAGUUAAAGAAGCUUCACGAGCCCUGCCAGGUCCUAUAAUGCGUGGAAGCUUCUGUGAAAGGCCCCAAGAAGGAAAUAUCCCAAAUCUAGCAUGAGUAUCCAAAAACUUGGCUCCUUUAGCAGCAACCAGAAUAUCACAAGCGAGCGCUAUUUCAAAUCCGGCGGUCACCGCAAACCCGUUGAUCGCACCGAUAAUGGGUUUUUUGCACCGCUCCAUCUGCGCAACCGGAUCGGACUCCACGUCCUUAACAUCCCCUUUAAAAACGUCCUCAGCCGCGGUGAGGUCGACGCCGGAACAGAAAGCCCGACCAGUUCCGCACAGAAUGAUGACGUGGACCGAAUCAUCCAGACCUAGAGCCUUGAUCUCGUGGGCCAUGCGGGUCAUCAUUGCCUUGGUCAAGGAGUUGAGGGAUUUAGGACGAUUGAUUGUGAUGGUUGCGACGCCGUUUGGAUCGCGGGAAACGAGGAUGAGACUUUCGGGUGGGGGUCGAUCCAUCGUUGCCUUAGUAGGGUUGUGAACUUGUGAGAAGUGGAGUUGAGGGAGGAAUUCGCGCCUUCGCGGAUUGGUUUUUAUGGAGGUAUCAGAGUCUUGGUUUGCGUGCAAUUAAACAGUCCUAUCCUCGGUGACGUUGGAUUGCGGUGGUUACAGAGCACCG